rnacentral:rRNA from 1 species
UGGCGGCAUGCCUUACACAUGCAAGUCGAACGGUAACAGGUCUUCGGAUGCUGACGAGUGGCGAACGGGUGAGUAAUACAUCGGAACGUGCCCGAGAGUGGGGGAUAACGAAGCGAAAGCUUUGCUAAUACCGCAUACGAUCUCAGGAUGAAAGCAGGGGACCGCAAGGCCUUGCGCUCACGGAGCGGCCGAUGGCAGAUUAGGUAGUUGGUGGGAUAAAAGCUUACCAAGCCGACGAUCUGUAGCUGGUCUGAUAGGACUACCAGCCACACUGGGACUGAAACACGGCCCAGACUCCUACUGGAGGCAGCAGUGGGGAAUUUUGGACCAUGGCCGCAAGCCUGAUCCAACCCUGGCCGUGUGCAGUAUGAAGGAAUUCUGUUUGUAAACUGCUUUUGUACGGAAAGAACAACCUCUUGUUAGUCAUGAGAAUGCAUGACGAUACCGUAAGCAUAAUCACCCUGUAACUACUUGCCAGCAGCCGCGGUAAUACGUAGGGUGCGAGCGUUAAUCGGAAUUACUGGGCGUAAAGCGUGCGCAGGCGGUGAUGUAAGACAGAUGUGAAAUCCCCGGGCUCAACCUGGGAACUGCAUUUGUGACUGCAUCGCUGGAGUGCGGCAGAGGGGGAUGGAAUUCCGCGUGUAGCAGUGAAAUGCGUAGAUAUGCGGAGGAACACCGAUGGCGAAGGCAAUCCCCUGGGCCUGCACUGACGCUCAUGCACGAAAGCGUGGGGAGCAAACAGGAUUAGAUACCCUGGUAGUCCACGCCCUAAACGAUGUCAACUGGUUGUUGGGUCUUCACUGACUCAGUAACGAAGCUAACGCGUGAAGUUGACCGCCUGGGGAGU